rnacentral:rRNA from 1 species
CGGAAUUACUGGGCGUAAAGCGUGCGUAGGCGGUUCGUUAAGUCAGAUGUGAAAGCCCUGGGCUCAACCUGGGAACUGCAUUUGAAACUGGCGGACUAGAGUUUAGUAGAGGGGAGUGGAAUUUCAGGUGUAGCGGUGAAAUGCGUAGAUAUCUGAAGGAACACCAGUGGCGAAGGCGACUCCCUGGACUAGAACUGACGCUGAGGUACGAAAGCGUGGGUAGCAAACAGGAUUAGAUACCCUGGUAGUCCACGCCGUAAACGAUGUCAACUAGCCGUUGGUCCUAUUUACAGGAUUAGUGGCGCAGCUAACGCAUUAAGUUGACCGCCUGGGGAGUACGGCCGCAAGGUUAAAACUCAAAUGAAUUGACGGGGGCCCGCACAAGCGGUGGAGCAUGUGGUUUAAUUCGAUGCAACGCGAAGAACCUUACCUAC